GGGCGGAGGAGAAGGAAGGAAAACCGGAACAUAACCCAGGCUUAUGGCUUCAGAAGGGAACGGAGAACGACUAACUUGCCUGUGACUCUCAACCCCACGUGAAGCUCUCCAGGGCAGGGUAAAUCCACACCUACCUGGUAGAAGGCACACUAUCCAGGAACUCAAACUCUGAACAAAAGUUGCCAGAACUGAAUUCAAUGAAACGCCUAUUGAAUACUCCAGUACUCCAAUACUCCAACUGAAUUCAAUGAAACGCCUAGGAAUACUCCAAUUCCUAGAAAAAUCGGAGAGUUUUCUCAGCAAGUGCAUCGAGGGAAGAGAUGAAGGAGUACAGGUUUUUUAGUAUUUCUAAGUCUAUUGCGGAAACACGACAUGUUCAAAUUAAAGCCAGAUUCCAAGGUGCUGAUGGGGCUCAGAAACAGUCUCCCAGAAUUAAGGUUUGAGAAGCACAAGUUUUUCUCUGACCUCUUUUGGCCUUUUAUUCCCAGUCCCAUUCUUCCCUGAGGUGAGCGAUAGAAAUCUUUCUUCCCCAAGGCAGACCAUAAAAAUUAGAACACUUCCCUGCCGCCAAACCAUUCCAUAUAAAAACUGGCCAUGAAGAAAUUACCUCACCCAUUUGUGUGUCUCUAGGUGACCCAUUCCAGAGAAGGUCCUGCCCACACUUAGAAGGAGGAAUGCUUCUCAGAGAGGCCAAAAAGAGUCUAAAUAGACAGGCCUUACUGCGUUUCCCCACUCAGUCUAUUAACAUUAGAUCAUACCCUUUUUGUCCAAUCAUAUUUCUACAGAGCUGUCCAUACUUUGUUGAACCUGGGUAUAAAAAUAAAUACAAUUUCCCCUGUACGUUUGUUGUUGUUGUUGUUGAGACAAAGUCUCACUUUAUUGCCCUUGGUAGAGUGCUGUAGCAUCACAGCUCACAGCAACCCCCAACUCCUGGGCUUAGGCAAUUCUCUUGCCUCAGCCUGCUGAGUACCUGGGACUCCAGGCGCCCACCAUAACGCCUGGCUAUUUUUUGUUGCAGUUUGGCCAGGGCUGGGUUCAAACCCGCCACCCUACAUUUAUGGGGCUGGCACCCUACCCACAGGCACCACCACCCCUGUAUCUUUGGGUCUUCAUUUUGUAUGCUCCCAGGUAUACAGGUUAAGUAAUUUGCAUGUCUUUUCUACUGUUAAUCUGGCUCAGCAAACCUUUAGGGGUCCCUACAGUUCUACUUGAAAGCAUUAAGGUUGAUGGCACCUAGAGACCCAAGCCUGAGAUGUUCAGGCCAGGUUUAUCGAAAGGGGAGGUUAACCCACCUGAGCAGUGCAAAAGUAGUGUCUCCACCCUGGGGGCAGUUAGAAACCAUUUUACCUGGGGCCUUUAGAGGAUGGGCACAUUCCACAGGUUGGAGGGGGAAGGUUAAGGUCCUUUGGUGGGAACUUCUGGGGGGUGGGGCCAACCAGGUCCUGUGUCUUAGGAGGAGAGGAGAUGGAGGGGAAAGGGUUCACAUGUGGCUGGGUUAGGCCCCCCAACGAUUUAUAUUCAAAGUUUGUAUUUAUUUAUUUAUUUAGUUAUUGAGACAGAGUCUCAGGAGGGCUGGAUAUAGUAGCAUCAGCAUAGCUCACUGCAACCUCAAACUCUUGCUUCAGGGCCUGUUGAGGUGGCUCAUGACUGUAAUCCUAGCACUCUGGGAGGUGGAGGCAGGUGGAUUGCCUGAGUUCACAGGUUCAAGACCAGCCUGAGCCAGAGUAAGACACCGUCUCUAAAAAUAGCUGGGCAUUGUGGUGGGUGCC